rnacentral:rRNA from 1 species
UACGGAGGAUCAAGCGUUAUCCGGAAUCAUUGGGUUUAAAGGGUCGUAGGCGGUUUAAUAAGUCAGUGGGUGAAAAGCCCAUCGCUCAACGGUGGAAACGGCCAUUGAUACUGUUAAACUUGAAUUAUUAGGAAGUAACUAGAAUAUGUAGUGUAGCGGUGAAAUGCUUAGAGAUUACAUGGAAUACCAAUUGCGAAGGCAGGUUACUACUAAUGGAUUGACGCUGAUGGACGAAAGCGUGGGUAGCGAACAGGAUUAGAUACCCGGGGUAGUCC